GUAUAUGGCAACCGUGUGGCAGAUUGCUAAAACUACCAAACGACCCAAGCGAUGUCUGAUCUCCAUCGCGUGGCUAUUUCUCCCCUUCGCUCGUCUUCAUCCCCGCACCACCACAUGAAUCUCCCUUGCCGUGGAUUUGGCCCGCAAGGCACGCCGGCCUGAAGAGAUGCGCUCACAAGCCCGGCCGCCCGGCCGCAGCGGGGAGAUGGAGGACGCCUGCGCCGUGGUUCCGCGCUUCGCUGACAUCUAUGUGCACCUCCUUGCCAGGCGCCGCGACCUCGAUUGUCUGGGUCUCAACGCCGACGCGCUCCGCCUCUCGUCGCACCUCUUCGAUGGCCACGGCGACGCCUAGGUCAGUGCUUCCUUGUGAAAGAAAAAAUGCAUCGCUACAAAAGCUUCAUACCAAAAUUGUGUGGCAAGUAGAGAAUGGGGAGAUUCUUAAAGGAAGAAGCAAACAUCAUGAGACGACUUUAGCAAGACCUGGUGAUACGCGAUGGGGGUCUCAUCAUAGAACAUUGAUUCGGUGAUUCAAGUGUAUGCAAUUUGCCAAUUUCUCAUGAUGGGGAAGAUGCUGAUGAUGGAAGCAAAGUAUCAGGUUUGAUGAAAUAUAUGGAGGUCUUUGAAUUUGUUCUAAAUCUUGCAUUUGAUGCUUAAAGUGCUUGGUUUGACUAAUGACUUGUGACAAGCAUUGCAACAGAAGGACUAAAAUAUAGUAGUAAGUGCAAUGGAAAUGAUUGUGUCUGUGAAAAGUUUAUUGCAGCAGCUGAGGGAUGAAGGAUAGGAGCCACUUCGUUUUGUGUUGAGAGAGAGAUACUAGUGCCUAGUAUGAAUGAGAAUAUUCCGGCAAGGAGUUCCACAAAAUGGUUUGUGCUUCCAUCACUGUUUGUAAAGCGUCCCUAAAGCGACGCUUAAGCGUCAGAGCACCCUCCAGGCUCAAAGCAUCCAGCUCGCUUUAGACAUGUGUCUAAGGCGUCCGCCUUAUAGACAUUAAAGCGUCUUAAGUGCCUGCUUAGGCGUCUUAAGUGCCCGCUUAGGCGUCCUGAUUGGCACAUUAGUGCAGAGAGGACGCCUUAGACUUGCCAGGCAGGGGAACAGAGAUUUCUGGCGGGAAAAGGGGCUGGGCGGGAACACAAGGGCGGGAAAACUGGGCUCACAGGUUAAACAGUUACAGGAGGGGAAAGAAAGAGAGAGAACCAAAACCUCUGCUGUUACCUGCUGCUGCUGCCUCAGAUCUGCACCAGCUUGCCAUGCCUUUCCUGCUCUGUUAUGUGUUAUGCUAUGCACAGCUCCUCUGCUGUUAGCUGCUGCUGCUGCCUCUCUUAUAUUAGUUGGUUGGUUGCUUACUGCUUAGUGGAUGGAUUAGAAUAAUGGCUACUAAUGCAUAUGUGCUCACUCGUGGAUUAGAAUCAAGGUAUGUAUGUCUCACUAAAUGGUACUCUAUUCUACUGCCCAUCAGGUUCAGAGUCUGUCUAAAGUGUCGCCUCGCUUUACGCUUAAGCAAUGAGGCACCCCCCAGCGCCUCGCUUCGCUUUACCGCUUUUAAAACAUUGGCUUCCAUCACUACAAGAUUGAAAUACUCAAGGUUCUUGAAGAAGCAUAGCUGAGAUGAACAAUCGACUUAGUAAGACUUAAACAAGGUUAUUGAUAUGCAUUACGAUUUACGAGUCUAGAUCCUAGAGACUCAUUUAGCAGAUUUAAUCAUGAGAAGCUACUUGAGCUUGCAUCUAUUUUCUCAGUUGACUUCAAUCAAGAAGACCAAUAUCAUUUGGAUGGUCAGCUCAAGAUAUAAAUUGAUACGAUGAAAAGGUCUGCUGUUUUUUGUGGUUGUGAUAGUCUCGCUAAUCUUCCUCUCAAGUUGGUUGAAACUAAGGAACAUUUACAAUUUCCUUGCCUCGGCAGGAUUUUCCUUUCAUUCUUCCUCUAUAUUGUUUGCGAAAUCUGGUUCUUUUGGGGUUAUAGUCGAUGGUUCUCUUUCUUAGUUCCAUCUCUACUGCAAAACUGGACAUGAGAGUUUCUUCUCAUCCAGCUCCUCGCGAAUGGAAUGAGAAAGCAUGUAAAUUUCUCUAAUUCAUAAUAUUCCAAAAUAUUACGGUACGGAUAGAUGGCUUCUUAUUUUUAAUGGAAUGAAAUAAAUAUUCGCACUUUCUGACACAGAAUCCCCUAGAAGGGUUGGUUUAUCGGCUCAUCAAACUUGCUUUGACUUUGUCAGUAGCGACGGCAUCAGUUGAAAGAGUUUUCUCAGCGACUAACAUCAUAAAGACAGAUUUGACAAAUAAGAUAUCUGAUAAUUGGUUGAAUGAUAUGAUGAUAUGCUAUCCUGAGCGAGAAAUAUUUGCUAGAAUUGAUAACAAGAAGAUUAUUGAAAAUUUUCAUGGCUUCAGGAACCUUAGAGGCCAUCUACCAAACCAUCCUCGUAUAAUUACAACUUCAGUAAAUACUUUUCUUAGCUGUUGUUUCAAACUAUUAGCAUACUUGUGCUAAGAUAUAUAUUGAUAUGCAGCUUGUUCACUAGUUGUAGGUACCUAUUAGAAUUGGAGUUGGACAUUUUGGGCCAGGGAAUGAAUGAUUCAAGCAGCGGGAGUCCAUGUUAGUAGCUCUCUAAGGCAUUUAUGUUGUCUUUUGUGUUUUUUGGUGGUUGCGCCACCUAGUUGUUGAGAAUCUUGAACUAUUUUGAACCAUUAGUUAUGUUAAUUUUCGAGUGCAUCUAGCUUCGCAUUUGAGUUUUAUGAGUUUUGGUUCAGCGGACUUGCAUUUGUACGUUAAAAU
rnacentral:rRNA from 1 species